rnacentral:rRNA from 1 species
ACUACUUGGAUAACCGUGGUAAUUCUAGAGCUAAUACAUGCUAAAAACCCCGACUUCGGAAGGGGUGUAUUUAUUAGAUAAAAAACCAAUGCCCUUCGGGGCUCCUUGGUGAUUCAUAAUAACUUAACGAAUCGCAUGGCCUUGCGCCGGCGAUGGUUCAUUCAAAUUUCUGCCCUAUCAACUUUCGAUGGUAGGAUAGUGGCCUACCAUGGUUUCAACGGGUAACGGGGAAUUAGGGUUCGAUACCGGAGAGGGAGCCUGAGAAACGGCUACCACAUCCAAGGAAGGCAGCAGGCGCGCAAAUUACCCAAUCCCGACGCGGGGAGGUAGUGACAAUAAAUACUGAUGCGGAGCUCUUUAGGGUUUCGCAAUUGGAAUGAGUACAAUUUAAAUCCCUUAACGAGGAACAAUUGGAGGGCAAGUCUGGUGCCAGCAGCCGCGGUAAUUCCAGCUCCAAUAGCGUAUAUUAAAGUUGUUGCAGUUAAAAAGCUCGUAGUUGAACCUUGGGUCUGGUUGGCCGGUCCGCCUCACCGCGUGCACUGGUUCGACCGGACCUUUCCCCCUGGGGAGUCGCAUGCCCUUUACUGGGUGUGUCGAGGAACCAGGACUUUUACUUUGAAAAAAUUAGAGUGUUCAAAGCAGGCCUAUGCUCGAAUACAUUAGCAUGGAAUAAUAGAAUAGGACGUGUGGUUCUAUUUUGUUGGUUUCUAGGACCACCGUAAUGAUUAAUAGGGACAGUCGGGGGCAUCUGUAUUCUUCAGUCAGAGGUGAAAUUCUUGGAUUUGUUGAAGACAAACUACUGCGAAAGCAUUUGCCAAGGAUGUUUUCAUUAAUCAGUGAACGAAAGUUAGGGGAUCGAAGACGAUCAGAUACCGUCGUAGUCUUAACAUAAACUAUGCCGACUAGGGAUCGGACGGGGUUAUUAUUUU